rnacentral:rRNA from 1 species
AUUGAACGCUGGCGGCAGGCCUAACACAUGCAAGUCGAACGAGUGGCGGACGGGUGAGUAAUGUCUGGGAAACUGCCUGAUGGAGGGGGAUAACUACUGGAAACGGUAGCUAAUACCGCAUACCAUCGGAUGUGCCCAGAUGGGAUUAGCUAGUAGGUGGGGUAAAGGCUCACGUAGGCGACGAUCCCUAGCUGGUCUGAGAGGAUGACCAGCCAAACGGGAACUGAGACACGGUCCAGACUCCUAGGGGAGGCAGCAGUGGGGAAUAUUGCACAAUGGGGGCAGGCCUGAUGCACCAAUGCCGCGUGUAUGAAAAGGGCCUCCGGGUUGUAAAGUACUUUCAACGGGGAGGCGUUACCCGCAGAAGAAGCACCGGCUACCUCCGUCCCAGCAGCCGCGGUAAUA